UACGAAGGGGGCUAGCGUUGUUCGGAUUUACUGGGCGUAAAGCGCACGUAGGCGGAUUGUUAAGUCGGGGGUGAAAUCCUGGAGCUCAACUCCAGAAUUGCCUUCGAUACUGGCUUUCUAGAGGCUGGAAGAGGUUAGUGGAAUUCCCAGUGUAGAGGUGAAAUUCGUAGAUAUUGGGAAGAACACCAGUGGCGAAGGCGGCGAUCUGGGAAGAUACUGACGCUGAGGUGCGAAAGCGUGGGGAGCAAACAGG
rnacentral:rRNA from 1 species